AUCAAAUCCUUAUCUCAGAACGUGAUACCUUUGUUCAAAUCUAUAAUAUUUGGCUAAAAGAUUGUUGUUCAUAUUAGAUUACCAUGAUGCAUUCUUCCCAUAUUUGACGAGGAUAAACAGCCUACCUUCUGCAAAAACUUAUGCCACAAGAACAAUCCUAUUCUUGAAAGAUGAUGGAUCCUUAAAGCCACUUGCUAUCGAAUUAAGCAAGCCACAUCCUGGUGGAGAUAAUUUAGGUCCUGUGUGUGAAGUUGUGUUGCCUGCAGCUGAAGGUGUUGAAAGUACAAUUUGGCUGUUGGCCAAGGUUCAUGAUGUAAUUAUGGUGAAUGACUCUGGCUAUCAUCAGCUCAUAAGCCAUUGCUGAGAAUUGUGAAGAGUAGUUUAUAUUCACUUGGACUAUGGUGCCUUCCUGUCUCUACCUAUUCACUCAUUUGCUCGUCCCAGUUGGCUUUCAAUGCUUUCUUCUCCUACUUCCUCAACUCAUUCAAGUUCACACCUUACAUAAUCAACUCCCUAGUCCUUCUCACCAUUUCCUCAACCCUCCUGGUGUUUCAAAAUGAGUCAUCAUCAGAUGAUGAUGAUGAUUCAGAUUCCACAAAAAUCUCCACGAAAAAGUAUGCGAUUGAAUUCAUAUGCACAGUUGGUGCAUCUGCAGGGUAUGGACUACUUUCAAAGUGGUCUUGGAUAUGAUAUUAUACCCUUCCCUUGUAGCUACCCUUGUAUCUAUAAAGACUAAUAUAAUGUUUGAUAAGAGGGAAAUAAAACAGAGAAAAGAGAUUUUCAUAAACUGUUUGGUUCAAUUUUUAGAAGGAAAGGGAAGCAAAAUUCAUUCACGUCUAAUUUUUGUUCCCUCUAAUAUGGGAGAAUUUGGAGAAGCAAAGAAAAUUUUAAAUAUUUCACUUGAAAUAACUAAAUUUUUUUUACAGAUUUAAAAUUUUAAGAAAAUAAAGUAAAUUUAUUUUUAAAGCUCCACCCCUUCCCUCGUGAAGCAAAAAAGAAAAUGACUAUAUUUCCUCCACUCCAUUAAAAUUUAUUCCCUCCUUCCUCUCAACCAAAAAUAAUGUCUAAUCAGCAUUUGUUUUGACUCUUGUGUUUCAGUAUGUAAGAGAAUAUUAUAAUAUAAUUGGUUUAUCCAUAAUAAACAAAUUAAAUGGGUGUGUAAGAAUAAAAAAAUAGGAUGCAUAUAGCACGUGGUGCAUAGGAGGAGUUAGGUGGUAUCUAUAAAUAGGUAUGAUGCAGAUGGGGGUUAGUAAGUAAGAAAGUAAGAAAGUAGCAAAGAUGACAGGUGGGAUGUUUGGAAGGAAGGGGCAAAAGAUAAAGGGGACAGUGGUGUUGAUGCCAAAGAAUGUGUUGGACUUCAACGCCAUAACCUCCGUCGGAAAAGGCAGUGCUAAGGACACCGCCACCGAUUUCUUGGGCAAAGGCUUGGACGCAUUAGGUCAUGCAGUUGAUGCUCUCACUGCCUUCGCUGGCCAUAGCAUCUCCUUGCAGCUUAUCAGUGCUACUCAGACUGAUGGUACUUUCUUCUCUCCUUGCUCUUACCUUCCCCAAAACAAUAUUAUUAUUAUCUUUUUCCUUCCCUCCAAACAUGUUUGUUUUGGAUUAAGCGUCUCAGACUCAAAACCUAAAUAUUAUUCACUUCUCCAUAAGAUUACUUGAUUACCUAUCAUAUAAAUCAGUGGCAAGAAAAAAAGUUGGGAAAGUAGAAUUAAAAUUUGAAUAAAAACCAUUCUUAAAUUACUUGCUAUUACAUAAUUUCAUCCCAUUUCUAUCAUAAAAAAAAUCUUCAAAUAAUUCGCCAUGCAAUUACUUUCUACCAAAUCAUUUAAUGUUCACAUAAUAAUAAAUAUUCAACCAUCACGUACAAUUUUAUAUAACUAGUUGUAUGUCCGUUCUCUUAUAAAAAUAACUCUUAUUAAUUAAUGUGUGCUAAUAUAUCGGAUCCUAUCAGAAUUUUACAAAUGUGAUUAGACAAAAGUAAUACUAAAAUGAGUGAUCUCCUGACACAAUUUGGGGGACCAGGCUCUCCCUAUCAAUAAGAAGUUCCACCCCUUAAUCAUCUCAUAAAUUUUAAGAAAAUAAUGUAUAUAUUUUAUAUUAUUAUUCAAACAGACAGAAAUUAUUAUGUAUAAUAAAUUGAUUAUCUCUAAUAAUUUUUAAUUAAUUUAAAAUAUAAAAUUUAUAUGUAAUAUUUUAUAUUCAUCAUUCGUACAAAUUAAACUCUUUUCCCAUACUUCUUAAAAAUGUCUUUUUCUUUUUUCUUUCUUUUUUUCAUUUCCAGACCGAAACCUCAAUAAUUCAAGGAGUCGCUUAUCUAACUUCUGCUUGCAUUUCUUAGAGUUCGAAUAUACAGUUUAUUUAAAUAUUUAUUAUAUAAACUUUUGUAAAAUCAUAUUAUAAUUUUGAUAAUAACUUUUUAAAUAAGUUAAAACCCUAUUGUAAUAAACUUAAACGAUGAAGUGGGACAAAAUACAUUUUAACAAUUAACUUCACAAUUUAUGUUCCGAAAAUUACUCCUGGUAAGUGGGAUAUAGUGAGUUUUGUUUCUUUUUUUAAUUAUUACUAUUAUUAUUAUAGGGACUUAUCGUAAGUUAUUUUUGUUUUUAUGACUAUUGUAUUGUAGGUAGUGGAAAAGGAAAAGUUGGAAACGAAGCCUAUUUGGAAAAACAUCUUCCGACCUUGCCAACGUUGGGAGCAAGGCAGGAAGCAUUCGAUAUUAACUUUGAAUGGGAUGCUAGUUUUGGAAUUCCAGGAGCAUUUUACAUCAAAAACUUUAUGACUGAUGAGUUUUUCCUCGUCAGUGUUAAACUCGAGGACAUUCCAAACCAUGGAACCAUUAACUUCGUUUGUAACUCAUGGGUUUAUAACUUCAAAAGUUACAAAAAGAAUCGCAUUUUCUUUGUCAAUGAUGUAAGUUCUGCACCUAGCUACUCAUUUGUUUCAAAGUCUAAGGCUUUGUUUGGAUAAAAGUUACGUUCAACAUAACUAUCGUUUAUCUCGACGAGACAACAUACUUACGUCUCAGUUCGGUGCAUCAAAAAGCGUGUUUCUCCAUUUGACAAGCUUCAAACUGCAAUCAAAACACACACUAAGUUCUAUUUUGCUAAUGUGUACAAAAUUUGGCCCAGUUUUUUUUUUCCAAUUAUAGUCCUACACAUUUUUAUUUAAAUUCUUUAAUGACUAAGUUCAUGAAUUAUAUUGCAGACAUAUCUUCCGAGUGCUACACCAGGUCCACUAGUUAAGUACAGACAAGAAGAAUUGGAGGUUUUAAGAGGAGAUGGAACAGGGAAGCGCAGAGACUUUGACAGAAUCUAUGAUUAUGAUAUCUAUAAUGAUUUGGGCAAUCCAGAUGGUGGUGAUCCUCGCCCAAUCAUUGGAGGCUCUAGCAACUAUCCUUACCCUCGCAGGGUUAGAACCGGUAGAGAAAAGACCAGGAAAGGUUAGAAUUUUAUAUUUUUGUAAGACUUAAAUAUGUUUUACAUUCUUCAUAAAUUAUCUAUUUUUAUUUUAGGUCCUAAAUUUUUUUUCGUUGCAUUAGAUUUUUGAUAUAUCAAAACUUUUGUUAACAACAUGUUACAAUGUGACUGUAGAAUUGUUUUAUUGUAUUGAGAACAUAUAUCUGGAAAGAAUAUAUAUCUCCCAUUGUAAGAAUAACAUACUAGUAUGAUUGUUUGUUGAUAUUUAUAUUACCAUUGCUUGAUCGGUAACAGAUCCCAACAGUGAGAAACCAGGCGAGAUAUAUGUUCCAAGAGAUGAAAACUUCGGUCACUUGAAGUCAUCUGAUUUCCUUACAUAUGGAAUCAAAUCCUUAUCUCAGAACGUGAUACCUUUGUUCAAAUCUAUAAUAUUUGACUUAAGGGUCACAUCGAGUGAGUUCGAUAGCUUCGACGAAGUGCGUGGUCUCUUUGAAGGUGGAAUCAAGCUGCCAACAAAUAUACUGAGCCAAAUUAGCCCCUUACCAGUCCUCAAGGAAAUCUUCCGCACUGAUGGUGAAAAUACCCUUCAAUUUCCACCACCUCAUGUAAUCAGAGGUACUUUGAUUAUACAUCGUGGUCAAAACAACUUAAUAUAUUAGCAUUUGUUGAAUUAAUACAAUUUGACAAUUAUUUUCUUUCUGAUUUGAGCAGUUAGUAAAUCUGGAUGGAUGACUGAUGAUGAGUUUGCAAGAGAGAUGAUUGCUGGUGUAAAUCCAAAUGUAAUUCGUCGUCUUCAAGUAAGUCCAAAUGUUUUGUUUUAUUAUCGGGUCCCCUAUAUGAGUAUAUGUCAUUUUUCCUAAUAUCAAUUUUUAAUAAUGGCAGGAGUUCCCACCAAAAAGCACUCUUGAUCCCGCAACCUAUGGUGAUCAAACUAGUACCAUAACAAAACAACAGUUGGAGAUUAACUUGGGUGGGGUCACAGUAGAAGAGGUACUUUAUAUAUAUGUAUAUUAGUAGAUGAGGUACUGAUAUACAUGUUCCACUCUAAAAUAUCAUUGAAUUUCUAGCUAGCUAGCAUGACUCUUGCUAUAUUCUCUUAUAAUUUCUUUUAAAUAAUCCUUCUAAAUACAACAAAAAAAAAUACACUAAAUAAAUAUUAUAAAAAAAAGUCAAUAUUUAAUUUCUCUACUUGGAUUUUGAAUUAUUCUUGUUAGUAUAGACUAUAGAGGCACUUAAAGUCAUAUGGUUAAUUUGUAAUUUGAACUUAUGAAGCAUUGUGUCUGAAUAUAAAUUUUGUGGAACAGGCAAUUAGUGCUCACAGAUUAUUCAUAUUAGAUUACCAUGAUGCAUUCUUCCCGUAUUUGACGAAGAUAAACAGCCUACCUAUUGCAAAAGCUUAUGCCACAAGGACAAUCCUGUUCUUGAAAGACGAUGGAUCUUUAAAGCCACUUGCUAUCGAAUUAAGCAAGCCUGCAACAGUGAGUAAAGUGGUGUUGCCUGCAACAGAAGGUGUUGAGAGUACAAUUUGGUUGUUGGCCAAGGCUCAUGUCAUUGUGAAUGACUCUGGUUAUCAUCAGCUCAUAAGCCAUUGGUAAGAACUUCCUUAGCAAUACUUAGUCCAUGUAAACUGUAUAGCGUAUGUGCAUAUGAAAUUAUUAUUGAUCAUUUCUUUUUUUGUCGGGGUUAUAGGUUAAAUACUCAUGCAGUGAUGGAGCCAUUUGCCAUAGCAACAAACAGGCAUCUCAGUGUGCUUCACCCCAUUUAUAAACUUCUUUAUCCUCACUACAAGGACACAAUAAAUAUCAAUGGCCUUGCUAGGCAGUCCCUGAUUAACGCAGGUGGCAUUAUUGAGCAAACAUUUUUGCCUGGAAAGUACUCCAUUGAAAUGUCAUCAGUUGUUUACAAGAAUUGGGUUUUCACUGACCAAGCAUUACCAGCUGAUCUUGUCAAGAGGUAAUCAUCAUUAAAUAUACUACUUCACCUGCAAAAAGAAUAUAUAAAAUUUUGAGUUAUUGAUAAGGCAUUUAAAUGGGGUUUAACUUUUAUGUAUGGUUAAUCUAAAAUAAUUUGUCCUGUCAAUCAAUCAGAAAUCAAAUCACGUAUGACUUCUAAAGUAGUUAUUGUCAAAAUUAAUGAACUUACCAUAUACCAGUAUAUCAAUUGGUGAUUUGGUGACCUGUGGUCCAUGGACUAUUUAUUCUUCAAGACAUUAUGGAUUGAAAUGUUUUUUUUUUUUAAUUGCAACAUGAACAAUUCUAGUUAUGGGACAACAAAAACAAUAAUUUCCAUUUAUAUUGGAAAAAAUUCAGAGAGGUUUGUUGAAUUUGUCAUUAACAUUUUUCUUUUUUUGUUUUGGCUUGAUUAAGAGGAUUGGCAGUUGAGGAUCCCUCUGCCCCACAUGGUCUUCGCCUUGUGAUAGAGGACUACCCUUAUGCUGUUGAUGGACUUGAAAUAUGGGAUGCUAUUAAGACAUGGGUCCAUGAGUAUGUCUCUGUGUAUUACCCAACAAAUGCAGCAAUUCAACAAGACACUGAACUUCAAGCAUGGUGGAAGGAAGUUGUGGAGAAGGGUCAUGGUGACUUAAAAGAUAAGCCUUGGUGGCCUAAACUGCAGACUGUGGAGGAUCUCAUUCAAUCCUGCUCUAUUAUCAUAUGGACAGCUUCGGCUCUCCAUGCAGCUGUUAAUUUUGGGCAAUACCCUUAUGGAGGUUAUAUCGUGAACCGUCCAACUCUAGCCAGAAGGUUUAUCCCAGAAGAAGGAACCAAAGAAUAUGAUGAGAUGGUGAAGGAUCCUCAAAAGGCAUAUCUGAGAACAAUCACACCCAAGUUCGAGACCCUUAUUGACAUUUCAGUGAUAGAGAUAUUGUCAAGGCAUGCUUCUGAUGAGGUCUACCUUGGCCAAAGGGAUAAUCCAAAUUGGACUACGGAUUCAAAGGCAUUGGAAGCUUUCAAAAAGUUUGGAAACAAACUGGCAGAAAUUGAGGGAAAAAUCACACAGAGGAACAAUGAUCCAAGUCUGAAAAGCCGACAUGGGCCAGUUCAGCUUCCAUACACAUUGCUCCAUCGUUCAAGUGAGGAAGGGAUGAGUUUCAAAGGAAUUCCCAACAGUAUCUCCAUCUAAAAUGUGUGUGUGGUUUGCUUAUCUAUUGUGCUUUUGAAUAAAAUAGACAAUACUUGUCUAUGGUUAUUAUUGGCUGUAUGUCUGUAUUUGGAUGCUCUCGAUCGGUUUGCAAGUAAUAAGAGUGUUUUCACUGUCACUUUGUAUUUCGAUCAUCUUAAUUAUGUUUACUAGUAAUAAUGUGGAAGCUGUACGUUUGUUAAUUCUAGGUUAAAUAAUAGAGCAAUUGUUUUUGAACUAUUUGAGAAUUGUUAAGGUCUCUUCACUAGAUCACUAUGAAAUCCUUUCUCACCACUACCAUGAUUUAUGACCAAGUCCUUCAACUAUGUCACAUGCUUACCUUUCUUGUGAGUCGUAGUCUAGCUACAUGACACAAUUCUUAGGGACCAUAUUCUUGAUAUCACUUCUCUGACUCAUAAACAAAGAUAAUAUAUAUAUAUAUAUAUAUAUAUAUAUGAUCAGUUUUUUUAUUGAUCUACAAUAUCCAUCUCAAUAUUUUAAAUAUAUCAUUGCUUCACAUAUUCCACUGAUUUCCAAAGAAGUCAAUGUAGAAUGACAAUGUGAAAAUCAUUUUUUAUACUAGUGAAUCAGUAUUUCAUGUUUCUUUAGAAAGAUAAUUUUUUUAUAAAUAGUUAUUAAAUGAUUUAUUUUUAUUUAAUAAUUUUAUAAUAAAUAUUUUUUUAUUUUCUUAAUUGGUAGCAUAUUCAUAUAAUUAAAAAUAGAAAAGAUAAUCCGGAACGUCCAAACUCAAUUAAAAAGAAACAUAAAUUAUUAUUUAAAACAUAAACCAUAUUUUUAAAAAAAACCUAACCCAAUGCCACUGUGUAUAUAAGAACAGAAGAAAUCAAAAGAAUCAAUUUGAAUAUAAUUAAGUAUGCAUAGAACGUGUUGCAUAUGGGGGAGGAGGUGCCCAUAGAAAAAUGAAUUAACCGGUGGAGCUCAUAUUAAAAAAAUGAUGUUUAUACUUUCUCCCUUCUCAAGUCCUCUAUAAAUACCAAAAUAUUCUUGGCUUCCUCACACCACAAGCUUCUCCUUCUUUUGGGAAAAGAUUAACAAUAAAAGUGUGGAGUACUGUUGAUAGCAAAGAUGUUUGGGAUCUUCGACAAGGGGCAAAAGAUAAAGGGGACAGUGGUGUUGAUGCCAAAGAAUGUGUUGGACUUCAACGCCAUAACCUCCAUCGGUAAAGGUGGUGUUAUUGACACAGCCACCGGCAUCUUAGGCCAAGGCGUCAGCUUAGUUGGUGGAGUAAUUGAUACUGCCACUUCCUUCUUAGGCCGUAAUAUCUCCAUGCAAUUGAUCAGUGCUACUCAGACUGAUGGUUUGUUCACUCUCAUCCUUCAAACUCUUUUCUGUAAUAACAUUACAUUAUAUUAAUAAUUGUUUUCAAUAAUUCAAAUUUAAUAGUUAUGCACUUACUGACCCCACUGUGUAAAUUAUUUCAUUUACAAAUUAUAUUUGGUAUGACUUUUGACAUAAUAAUAAUUACAAAAUUAUCAUUUUUGUAUUUUGAUCACAGUAUAAAACAAGUCUCGUAUAAUUAUACUAAAGAUUGUAGUACCAAAAUUAGACUCUUAAUAAUUAAUACUACCGCUGACACAUCCCAUGCAUCCAGCUCUAGUUAUUCUUGAAAUAUGCAAGGGCCAAGGCCAAGGAGUCACUUACCUAACUUUACCUUGUAUCUCUUAGGCUUUGAAUAUAUUUUUCUUAGAUAAGAUAACAAAAAAUAUUAUUUUGAUGAAGUUAACUUUACAAAGGAAGAAAAAAUAAAUAAAAAAUUCAUUAUAAGAAUUAAAUUCACAAUUUACGUUCCAACAUUAAAUCCACUACACAACCAGGCUGAUGCAAGUAUCACUUUUUACAGAUUAUUGGUCGAUCACAAUCUCACAAACUCAUCACUUAUAACUAUUUUUUUUAUGAAUUGUUGUUUUGUAUGGUUUUUGCAGGCAGUGGAAAUGGGAAAGUUGGAAAAGAAGUCUAUUUGGAAAAACAUCUUCCGACCUUGCCAACGUUGGGAGCAAGGCAGGAUGCGUUCAGUAUUUUCUUUGAAUGGGAUGCUAGUUUUGGAAUUCCAGGAGCAUUUUACAUCAAAAACUUUAUGACUGAUGAGUUUUUCCUCGUCAGUGUUAAACUCGAGGACAUUCCAAACCAUGGAACCAUUGAAUUUGUUUGCAACUCAUGGGUUUACAACUUCAGGAGUUACAAAAAGAAUCGCAUUUUCUUUGUCAAUGAUGUAAGCUUCUUUGUUUUUUUCAAUUAUGGUCCCAAUCAAUUUUGUUUUCAUUCUUUAAAUGAAAUAUAUUGUAGACAUAUCUUCCAAGUGCCACACCAGCUCCACUACUUAAGUACAGAAAAGAAGAAUUGGAGGUUUUAAGAGGAGAUGGAACAGGGAAGAGAAAGGACUUUGACAGAAUCUAUGAUUAUGAUGUCUAUAAUGAUUUGGGCAAUCCAGAUGGUGGUGAUCCUCGCCCAAUCCUUGGUGGGUCUAGCAUCUAUCCCUACCCUCGCAGGGUUAGAACAGGAAGAGAAAGGACCAGGACAGGUUAGACUUUUAUUUUUUGUCUUAUGUAUUCAAUUAUCAUGUUAGUAUUAUAAAAAGGUAACCAAUAAAUAAUAUUACAUUCGAUUUCUUUAAAUAAAAUUUUGAUUUUAACCUUGUAAAUGAGAAAAAAGUAAUUUAAAAUGAAAGAUCUGUCAGUGAAUUUUCCAAUAAACUGUAAUCAACAAUAUCAAUAUGCGAUGUGAUUGUAGAAUGGUAUGAUAUAAUUGUGUUGAGAAUAUAUAUCUAAUAAUACCAUUUCCAAUGAUACAAAAAAUAUUUAUUUGAUUAUUGUUUGAGCGGUAACAGAUCCCAACAGUGAGAAACCGGGCGAGGUUUAUGUUCCAAGAGAUGAAAAUUUUGGUCACUUGAAGUCAUCGGAUUUCCUUACAUACGGAAUCAAAUCCUUAUCUCACGAUGUGAUACCUUUGUUCAAAUCUGCAAUUUUUCAAUUAAGGGUCACAUCGAGUGAGUUUGAAAGCUUCGAAGAUGUGCGUAGUCUCUAUGAGGGUGGAAUUAAAUUGCCAACAGAUAUACUGAGCCAAAUUAGCCCCUUACCAGCCCUCAAGGAAAUCUUCCGCACUGAUGG
rnacentral:lncRNA from 1 species